GUCCACGCCCUAAACUAUGUCAACUAGUUGUCGGGAAGAAAUUCCUUGGUAACGAAGCUAACGCGUGAAGUUGACCGCCUGGGGAGUACGGCCGCAAGGUUAAACUCAAAGGAAUUGACGGGCACCCGCACAAGCGGUGGAUUAUGUUGAUUAAUUCGAUGCAACGCGAAAACCUUACCUACCCUUGACAUGCUAGGAAGUCCGCAGAGAUGUGGAUGUGCCCGAAAGGGAACCUAGACACAGGUGCUGCAUGGCUGUCGU
rnacentral:rRNA from 1 species